rnacentral:sRNA from 1 species
GUCCUAUAGCCUCACCAAUCUACACUGCUUUAAUUGUCAGAUGGAUGAGUGGAUCGUUCAUAAUUAAUGUGUCUCUUUUAUUCCAGCUUGGGACAGAGUUCUGAUGAAGAAAUUCCUAUCAAAAAUUAAAUACCAAUACAUAGGAAUUGUUUUGUCAAGAAAUAUUAGCAGGUAUUGUCCGAGUUUUGAUUGACAGCUGUGAUUAUGGAGACACUUUACACUCCAUAUUUUAUUCAGAUUUUCAUUACCAGGCAUAGGUUGAAGGUUGAUGAGACCUAUUGUUAAAAAGUUUAAAAAUCAAUUUGGUUUGUAAUUGAUAUACACAGAUUUCCUCAUUAAUUGACCUAUUAAAACAUUCUAUUAAAGCAAGAGGUAUUCAGAGAUUGGUUGUACCACCUCACUCAAACCCGCUUACAAAAGAAAUUGAGAUUGCCUUUAAAAUGAUAAAGAAAUGAAAAAAAAAAUGGAUCACAUUUUAAUGCAUCAAAACUUUUUGAAAAAAUGAGAAAGUUGACUGUAUUUCAUAUUCAUUUUAUUAAUCUACAAUCAUCUCACAAAGCUCACCAUGCAAAUCUCUGACCACAUGCUACAAAUGUUUAUCUUUCUAGAAGUGUAUAGUGUCAUCAAUUAGACAAGAUUGGUACAGAGAAUCUCUCAAAAUGCAUAUUCUGUGAUUGUUUGUACAUUGUUAUGUAUAAGUAAACAUUCUUGAAUUUUAUAUGACAGAUCUAAACACACUGCAACAUUUGCCAUAUGAUGGCUUGUAUAAGAUAUGUGAAAUUCUAAGGGUUCAUCAUCUUGUAUUGUCUUUGCCGAUUCGUGUAUGUAUAUGUUAGUUUUCAUGUUGUCAUUAUAACUAACCAGCUUUAAAAAGCAGUGUGUUAAUUAAAACAUGUAAUUUAUUAGCGUGGGAGUGAUUAAAAAAAACAAAGUCAAAUUGUCAAGUUUAGAUUUCAAAAUUUUGGUAAAUACAGUGUAUGAUAUCCUGCUUUUUUUUACGCUGAUGUACAACCUUGUUUUAAGAAAUUGAACAGAUUGCAUUUUAUGAACUUUUGACACGUGGGUUUUUCAUUAAUGGCCAUUAAACCAUAAUUAUGCUUUAAACAAAUAACACUUCUGAGCUGUUGAUUUCAGUUGUUACUGUAUUUUAUGAUAUUGCAAUAAAGGCAAAACUUUGCUGUCA